AUUGAACGCUGGCGGCAUGCUUUACACAUGCAAGUCGAACGGCAGCACGGAGAGCUUGCUCUCUGGUGGCGAGUGGCGAACGGGUGAGUAAUAUAUCGGAACGUGUCCAAUAAUGGGGGAUAACUAGUCGAAAGAUUAGCUAAUACCGCAUACGCCCUGAGGGGGAAAGUGGGGGAUCUUCGGACCUCACGUUAAUGGAGCGGCCGAUAUCUGAUUAGCUAGUUGGUGGGGUAAAAGCCUACCAAGGCGACGAUCAGUAGCUGGUCUGAGAGGAUGAUCAGCCACACUGGGACUGAGACACGGCCCAGACUCCUACGGGAGGCAGCAGUGGGGAAUUUUGGACAAUGGGCGAAAGCCUGAUCCAGCCAUGCCGCGUGAGUGAAGAAGGCCUUCGGGUUGUAAAGCUCUUUCGCAAGGAAAGAAAACUUACAUAUUAAUACUAUGUGAGGAUGACGGUACCUUGAUAAGAAGCACCGGCUAACUACGUGCCAGCCGCCGCCGUAACAC
rnacentral:rRNA from 1 species